rnacentral:rRNA from 1 species
CGCAUCUGUGCAUGCAGCAUAUCAAUAAGCGGAGGAAAAGAAACUAACAAGGAUUCCCCUAGUAACGGCGAGUGAAGCGGGAAGAGCUCAAAUUUGAAAUCUUAAAGGGUUUCCCUUUACGAAUUGUAGUUUAAAGAAGUGUUUUCUGUUGAGGUUUUGGUAAAAGUUCUUUGGAAUAGGACAUCAUAGAGGGUGAGAAUCCCGUAUUUGACCUUUACUUUCAACUUUGUGAUACACUUUCAAAGAGUCGGAUUGUUUGGGAAUGCAGUCCAAAAUGGGUGGUAAAUUUCAUCUAAAGCUAAAUAUUGGCGAGAGACCGAUAGCGAACAAGUACCGUGAGGGAAAGAUGAAAAGAACUUUGAAAAGAGAGUUAAACAGUACGUGAAAUUGUCAAAAGGGAAGCGUUUGACACCAGUGUUGUUUUUACUGAAAAUCAAUUAAAGAACUGUUUAUGCUAAGCUGUUUAGACUUUAUCAGCUAAUCUGUUUAGUUUUGAGCUUUUCUUUAAUGCACUUUUCAGUUAACAAGUCAACAUCAAUUUCUUUUGCUGUAAAAAAGCUUGAGGAAGGUGGCUUGAGAUUCGUCUUAAGUGUUUAUAGCCUCUUGCCUAGUGCAGUCGGAGAGAUUGAGGUCUGCAGCGUAGAUCCUUCGGGGCUAAAUGCAUUUGUGCUAAGUUAUAGCAUUUCAUAGACAACUUGUUGACUAUGAUUUGUCUUGUAGCUUACUCGCUUAUGUUAUUUUACCUACGCUUAGGAUGUUGACAGCAGUAUAGACUGU